CAAGCGUACAAUAGGCCCACAGGAAACUGUACAUCAGCACCAGAUCUAAAGGGAUUUUUAUCAAAAUCGUUGUUGUUACGACGUGACAUUUUCAAUUUCAUCGAUGAUGAGUACAUUCGGGCGUGUUUGAUAAUCAUGAGGCAGUUGCCCGUUCGUGGCUGUAAACGUGGUAGAGAAAAGGAAUGUAUGUCAGUCGAUGAAGUAUCAGCAGCUCCAUUUAUACGAUGGGUUAAGAUUGAGGACCAAUACAGUCACUUGCAUGGUGGCCAAUACCCUGCGCACCUGGCGUGUAUCGCCGAUGUCUUCAAGAAGGGUUCCUACUACGUGGUUCAUGGAACAGAGCACGUCGACUGCGGGGAUGACUCGGUGCAAGCCAUUGAUGUUUUUUUAUAAAUCCUUUAAGGUCUUUAAUUUACCUGUUCCGACCCUGCUGAGAUCACUUCAUGACUCAUUCAGUAUUAUUCAUUAUAAGACAUUCACACAGAGCAGAAGUGUUCAAGUGAACUUGUUAGUGCAGGCUCAGUAAUCGCUUAUUUUUGUAGCUCUUGUGUUUUCGCACAGUAACCAGCUUUUCGUCCCUAUUCCCGUUUUCAAACAAAUCGAAUCCGCCAUACAAAAUUAUGUUUUGAAUCGUUUGAAAACGAUAAUAGG